rnacentral:rRNA from 1 species
UACAGAGGUCCCGAGCGUUGUUCGGAUUCACUGGGCGUAAAGGGUGCGUAGGUGGUGAGAUAAGUCGGAUGUGAAAUCUCCGGGCUUAACCCGGAAACUGCAUUGGAAACUACCUUGCUAGAGGUUUUGAGGGGGGACUGGAAUUCUCGGUGUAGCAGUGAAAUGCGUAGAUAUCAGGAGGAACACCGAUGGCGAAGGCAGGUCUCUGGGCUGACACUGACGCUCAUGCACGAAAGCGUGGGGAGCAAACAGG